rnacentral:snRNA from 1 species
CGCUGCAUAGAAAGCGAUAAAUCUGUCAGUUCUAACGAUACAGAGAAGAUCAACAUUAUCCAUGCACAACGAUGACACACUAUGCAAGGAGAUUAACCAUUCUUUU